rnacentral:rRNA from 1 species
AUUGAACGCAGGCGGCAUGCCUUACACAUGCAAGUCGAACGGUAACAGGUCUUCGGAUGCUGACGAGUGGCGAAAGGGUGAGUAAUAAAUCGGAACGUGCCAGAUCGUGGGGGAUAACUACCCGAAAGAGUAGAUAAUACCGUCUACGAUCUACGGAAGAAAGCGGGGGAUCUUCGGCACUCGUUGGGACGGAGAGGCCGAUGGCAGAUUAGGUAGUUGGAGGGAUAAAAGAUUACAAAGCCGACGAUCUGUAGCUGGUCUGAGAGGACGACCAGCCACACUGGGACUGAGACACGGCACAGACUCCUACGGGAGGCAGCAGUGGGGAAUUUUGGACAAUGGGCGAAAGCCUGAUCCAGCAAUGCCGCGUGCAGGAUGAAGGCCUUCGGGUUGUAAACUGCUUUUGUACGGAACGAAAAGACUCCUUCUAAUACAGGGGGUAAAUGACGGUACCUUAAUAAUAAGCACCGGCUAACUACGUGCCAGCAGCCGCGGUAA